UUGAACGCUGGCGGCAUGCUUUACACAUGCCCGUCGAACGGUAACAGGCCUUCGGGUGCUGACGAGUGGCGAACGGGUGAGUAAUGCAUCGGAACGUACCCAGAGGUGGGGGAUAACGCAGCGAAAGCUGUGCUAAUACUGCAUGUGAUCUGAGGAUGAAAGCGGGGGACCGAGCAGCAAUGUUUGGCCUCGCGCCUUUGGAGCGGCCGAUGUCGGAUUAGCUAGUUGGUGGGGUAAAGGCCUACCAAGGCGACGAUCCGUAGCUGGUCUGAGAGGACGACCAGCCACACUGGGACUGAGACACGGCCCAGACUCCUACGGGAGGCAGCAGUGGGGAAUUUUGGACAAUGGGCGCAAGCCUGAUCCAGCAAUGCCGCGUGCGGGAAGAAGGCCUUCGGGUUGUAAACCGCUUUUGGCAGGAACGAAACGGUGUCCGCUAAUACCGGGCGCUAAUGACGGUACCUGCAGAAUAAGCACCGGCUAACUACGUG
rnacentral:rRNA from 1 species